UUUCCGUAGGUGAACCUGCGGAAGGAUCAUUAUAAAUGAAAAACGAAUAACUUCAGGGCCGAAGGGAACCUGCACGGUGACCUCCCCUGUCGGGCCACCCAAUACCUUCAAGAUGCCGCCGUCCUAGCGGUGGCAGACGAAAAAAAAACAAGAAAAACAAAAUAGAAACAGGCACGGUGGCCCGUUCACCUUCACACAACCCUCCGAGUACCGCUUCCAUGUUGCUUCCCCGCAAAUCCACCUCUUUGGUGAGCGCGGGGGAGGUCCGCAUCAAAUUCACCUGAAUGUCACAGCAGUCAGACAGCCAUUCAUGGAAACAAUAAAACUUUCAACAACGGAUCUCUUGGUUCCC
rnacentral:misc_RNA from 1 species